rnacentral:tRNA from 1 species
GGGUUCGUGGUCUAGUGGUUAUGACGUGGCCUUUACAAGGCCGAGAUCAGCGGUUCGAAUCCGCUCGAACCCA